ensembl:lncRNA
GUUAACUGUUACUCAAUUGCAGAUGUUUUUCUUUACCAGUAGCAUGAGGGAAAAUCGUGCAGAAAUGUAAAUUCCUACUUCAAGGCUGUGGAGCCUGGAGCCUCCCUUGCCUAGUUCUUUCUCCCCAGUUUCUGAGAGCAAGACCUUGUCCCUCCGGGUGUCCCUCAGGGUGUGGAUUCAGUUACCCAAUGAGCUGUCUGGUCCUCCACCACAUGUUCUCUGAAGCCCCUCACUGCUGGGCCUGCCUCGCGUGGGGGCAGAUGUGACCUUAGUGUGCCCACCAGGAGUGAGGAGAGGGAAGACGCCUCCCUUGCGUGGUGGAACAGGCGUUGAAGAAAGGAGACUUGCAGAUGAUCUUUCUCUUUUCACGUGUGGGACCUCAGGGAGCCCGCCCGUCAUGUGCAGGGGAGGCCCAGGAGCUCGGUGCUGAACAUGCUCAGGAGGCUGGACAGGAUCAGGUUCAGAGGCCCCAAGAGAGAGGACUGCCUGGACCUGGCAGAGUCGCCCAAUGCCUCGGACACUGAGUGCGCUGACGAGCUGCCCCUGAAGACACCUCGGACCUCGCCCGAGACGGCCAGGAGCUCAGGGACCCUGCAGGUCCAGGGACCCUCAUCAUGGCCACUGGGGCGCCAGACUUCAUCCGCACAGAGUCUGAUCGCCUGAACGAGAUCAAGGGUCACCUGGAAAUCGCCUUACUGGAGAAGCACUUCCUGCAGGAGGAGCUCCGGAAGCUCCGGGAGGAAACCAACUCGGAGAUGCUGAGGCAAGAGCUGGACCGGGAGCGGCAGCGGCGGCUGGAGCUGGAACAGAAGAUGCAGGAGGUGCUGAAGGCCAGAGCCGAGGAGCAGACUGCGCAGGUCCAACAGCCGCUAAAGAGCCAGAGCCAGGCCGGCAAUGGAGCAGAACGCCGCAGCCAGGGCCUGUCCUCCCGAGCACAGAAGUGGUUCUAUGAGAGGUUCUGGGGAGUACCUGGAGGGAUUUCCGCUUUCAGCCCGAGGAGAACACCGUGGAGACCGAGGAACCCCUCAGUGCCCGCAGGUUAACGGAGAACAUGAGGCGGCUGAGUGACGGGGCCAAGCCUGUCACUAACUUCGUGAGGAACCUUUCUGCCUUAUCUGACUGGUACUCCGUCUACACCUCUGCCAUCGCCUUCACGGUGUACAUGAACGCCGCGUGUGGCACGGCUGGGCCAUCCCCAUGUUUCUGUUUCUAGCAAUUCUGAGGCUGUCCCUCAAUUACCUCAUCGCCAGGGGCUGGCGGAUACAGUGGAGCAUCGUGCCAGAAGUGUCUGAAGCUGUGGAACCUCCAAAGGAAGACCUGACCGUGUCCGAGAAGUUCCAGCUGGUGCUGGACGUCGCCCAGAAAGCCCAGAAUCUCUUUGGCAAGAUGGCAGACAUCCUGGAAAAGAUCAAGAACCUGUUCAUGUGGGUGCAGCCCGAGAUCACGCAGAAGCUGUACAUUGCACUGUGGGCUGCCUUCCUGGCCUCCUGCUUCUUCCCCUACCGCCUGGUGGGGCUCACCGUGGGGCUCUAUGCUGGCGUCAAGUUUUUCCUCAUCGAUUUCAUCUUCAAACGCUGCCCCCGGCUGCGAGGCCAAGUAUGACACGCCCUACAUCAUCUGGCGGAGCCUCCCCACGGACCCCCAGCUCAAGGAGCGUGCGGGUGCCACUGUGUCACGCAGGUUGCAGACAGCCGCGUCUAGGAGCUACGUCUCCAGUGCACCAGCCGGCUUGAGCAAGGAUGAGGAUGCUGGUCGCUUCCACAGUACCAAGAAGGGCAAUUUCCACGAAAUCUUCAACUUGACCGAAAAUGAGCGUCCACUGGCAGUGUGUGAGAACGGUUGGCGCUGCUGCCUGAUAAACCGAGACCGGAAGAUGCCCACGGACUACAUCAGGAAUGGGGUUCUGUAUGUGACAGAGAAUUACUUAUGCUUUGAAAGCUCCAAAUCCGGGUCCUCAAAGAGGAACAAGGUCAUCAAGCUGGUAGACAUCACAGACAUCCAGAAGUACAAGGUCCUGUCUGUCCUCCGGGCUCAGGCAUGGGGAUUGCUGUAUCGACGCCAUCAACCCAGAAAGUAAGUGGCAGGCGGGUGGCUGUGACUGGUCCAGGUGGGUCGGGGGGCUCAGCUCUUGCCAUGCCUGGGCCUGGCCAUGGCUUCAGCCCGGGCAGGGAGCUGCAGACUGCUACAUCCGGUCUGCAUCCAGCGAUCACAGCCCUUGGGCGGUAGAGUCCCAGGACAGAUGAAUACUCAGGAAGGGGGGCGGCAAGCCUGGAGCCCAGGUUCCCCACUUCUUACCUCGGUUUCUCUGAGCCUUCUGGGUAGGACCCUGCACAGCUGCUUGGUGCUCAGCUUGGGGUCACCAUCUUGGUCCCAACCUUGCAGUGGGCAGUGCUCACAGGCAGCGUUUCCCCCAGCCGCUGGUGUUCGAGGCGCCAUGGUGCACAGAGACGAGGCCUUCGAGACCAUUUUCAGCCAAUAUGUGAAGAUCACGUCUGCAUCAGCCUCGGGUGGGAAAGCUAGUACUGAGCCCUGGGUGCCACUGGAAUCUUUUUAACAGUCGGUGUGGGACAGAGUGGACAGCCUCAUGACCCUUUGCAAUAAUUCCCUGACCUAUGGUUUCUGUUGCGUGGCUGGAUUCACACACAGAGGCUGGGGCUCAGGAGGAGGUGCCACUGCCCCCUGGCAGGCGCGUGUGGCACCUUAGUGGGGACGCGGCUGGGCGGAGGGGGCCGCAGGGCUCAUUGAGAGGAUGACACGCAGGACUUCACUGACCGGGCCUACCAAGCACAGCUCCUUGUUCUCCAUCCCGCCUGGGUAGAGACUGACACCGGCCACCCCAGGAGGCUCUCGUGACCCCUCGUUCCCUGCUUUGCAGAGGCCAGGAGCUGCCCCACCAAAGCCAUAGCUGAGUGCCUCCAUGGUCCUCUCCUGCUGGGGUCAGGGAAGGAGUGGAAUCGGGGCCCCUGUACCAGCUGCCCAGAAAAGGCCAGCAGGUCUCCCUCAACCUUCAGCACUUGUCCUUAAAGCUCCAGGCCCUGGGCCUGGGGACAGGGUUGUCUUCCGUGGGAGCAGUGAGGCUGGGCAUAUUUGGAGGCACUUCCCUCUCACCUGCUAUGGUAGAUGAAGCCUGGAGGCUUGAGGUUGACUGGGAAGGGUACAGAAUGCCAUGUGGGUAAAAGCACAUCUCUAACACUGCUCCUCCGAGAGGCCCUGGAGGACGUCAGGAAGGCUGUGGGGUGCUCUGAGCUGUGGCUGCUCUCAGGUGAAAAUCAACAGUCUGGCCGGCACUGGGCCCUCUGGCUGCAACCACCCAGGUAGGCGUGGUUGAGGAUGGCCUGGGCUUUGUGGCCCACAGAGGCCCAGGCUGCAGAUGCCCUGCCUGUGGGGCCAUCAGGAGCUCCUGGGAGGACCCUCUGCUGUAGGGGUGGCUGUGAGCAGAUUCCAGUGUGGGGCCAGGGCCACCCUGCAUCCCUGACAGCUGACAGUACUCCCCCACCCCCGGGGGUGCCCAGCAGUGCCAGGCUGGGCACAAACCACCCUCAGCCUGCCCCGCCCUGGGGCUGCGCACACUUGCAGGGUGAACUCUGGCUCCGUAGAGGAAGCCGGAGAGUGUGUCUCCCACGCUUGGUUUACCCUGGGGCCGUGCGCCCACAGAUGGAUUUGAACUGCAAAGAAGCCGACAUUGAGUCCUGGGACAGGCUUGGCCUCCCAAGGCCGCACCACAUGUGGUCUGUAUGCUUUCUGAGCAGUCUCUCCAGUUCUUCAGCUUGUCCUGGGUCUUUCGAGGUGUCUCUGAGAUUGUUUUUGAAGAAACAGAUUAUAUUUUUUACAGAGAGCAAGCUGUUUUUCUUAUUUUUGUAUCAUUUUUCAAAUGGAAUUUUUACCUUUGCUCUGAAUCCUCGUUGGCUGGCUUGGGAGUGGACGCAGUGGUGUGGGCUGGUGACCCCUUCCUGGAGGCUGCAGGGUUGCCCGUGGUGUGGGGACGCGGCACAAACAGCCAGGUCAGGCACACAGGCCACACCAGGCUCCACAGAUGGUACCACCACACCCUUGUUGUUGAAGGCAGAGCCCCCCUGGCAUGGCUCACCUGGCAGCAGACCCAGCUCUCAAGUGCAUGGGGUUAGGUGGGGCCCAGGAGGACCCCAAGGGGAGGUGGAGGGGGCCUGACCUGUUCUGGGUGCAGGUGUAUGGGUGAUGUCCAUGGGUGAUGGUCAGACCUGUCCCCUGGCCCUGGCAGUGCCAGGGCGGGUGCUGGGAACGUGCUAUCAGUGAGCACUUCCUGUGGACACACUGGGAUGCUGUCCAAAGCACCAUGGGGAGGGGCUGGGCGGACAGGGCUUCUUCAAAGACCGUGUGGUUUAGUUUGAGUCCCUUUCUCGGAGAAGGGCGAUGAAGACUGGCCAUGGCCUGCUGGAUGCAGCGCCCAGUGUGUGGGGGAGGCCAGUGUCACCCCAAGUUGCACAGCUAGGAAGUAGCAGGUUCUUCAGUGGACCCCGGGGGCUGGGCUGGGCUAGGACAGGGGCCUGUGCAGGCCCUGGUCUCGUCAGAGACCACAGUUCUGUGGAAGUGUACAUCUGGGCUAUAUUUAAUUUCUAUGACUAAUCACUGAACUAGAACGUUAAAUUUUGAAUGUCUGAAGCUUGAGUCUAUUUUGGAUCUGUACAUAAUUGUUACCAGUGUAACUUUUGUUCAACAAAAGGAUUGUACUGUAUGAAGAAUCGAUGAAAAAACUUGUCACAUUUUUUUAAGAGAAAAACCUUGUUUAAAGAAAAAGUCUUGUAUAAAUUAUAAUUUUUAUUUAAAUAAACCCUAAAACGCUUUGUGCUAAAGCUCAGGCCCUCUGCUUUCUUGGCAGGGUGUGGGCUGCUGGAGCAGGCUGGGCAGCUCCCAGGCCCCGCAGGACCCCAGGGGCAACGAGGACGUGGAGCCACCUGGAGCCUCUUUGAGCCUCGAUGGGUUAAGGUUGAGGGGGAGGCAGGUGCUGGGCCGCAGUGGAGGCCAGAUGGUGAGGGGCACUGGCAGAAGGGCAAGGCUGGCACUGGAGUGGG